rnacentral:rRNA from 1 species
ACGUAAUUUCUGCGUAGUGGUCGAGAGUGAGUGACACGAUGAGACGUGACUACCUGUCCUGUCUCUGCUGGAACGUGUGGUAACGCCUCUUGUGCCUACCGAGAUUUCUCAUCUGCUAUGGAGCGGGACACGUCCGAUUAGCUAGUAGGGAGCUCAUGGCUCACCCUGGCGACGAGCGGGAGGUGGUCUGAGAGGAUGACCAGCCACAUUGGGACUGAGACACGGCCCAAACUCCUACGGGAGGCAGCAGUGGGGAAUCUUGCGCAAUGGGCGAAAGCCUGACGCAGCCAUGCCGCGUGAAUGAUGAAGGUCUUAAGAUUGUAAAAUUCAUUCACCGCGGACGAUUGUGACCCUCCCCGGAGAAGAACCCCCGGCUAACUUCGUGCCAGCAGCCGCGGUAAUACGAAGGGGGCUAGCGUUGCUCGGAAUUACUGGGCGUAAAGGGCGCGUAGGCGGAUCGUUAAGUCAGAGGUGAAAUCCCGGAUCUCAACUUCGGAACUGCCUUUGAUACUGGCGAUCUUGAGUGUGAGAGAGGUAUGUGGAACUCCGAGUGUAGAGGUGAAAUUCGUAUAUAUUCGGAAGAACACCAGUGGCGAAGGCGACAUACUGGCUCAUUACUGACGCUGAGGCGCGAAAGCGUGGGGAGCAAACAGGAUUAGAUACCCUGGUAGUCCAUCCCGUAAACGAUGAUUGCUAGUAUCGCAUUAACAUGCAGUUCGGGGGGACAGCUAACGCAUUAAGCAAUCUCGCCUGGGGAGACGGGGGGCAAGACAAAACUCAAAGCAAUUGACGGGGUUCCGCACAACGCGGUGGAGCAUGUGGUUUAUUUGGAAGCAACGCGCAGAUCCUUACCACCUUUUGACAUUCCUGGACCGCCACGGAGACUGCAUUUUCCCUUCGGGGACUAGGACACAGAUGUUGCAUGAAGUUCGUCAGCUAGCGCAAUGAGAGGUUGGGUUAAGCCCCGCAACGAGCGCAACCCUGGGCAUUAGUGGCAAUCAUCCAGUUGGAACUUGUAAGAGGACGGCGGGGGCUACACGGCAGCAAGCCGGGGAUGUCUUCAGGUCCUCACGGCCUUCACAGGCUGGGCCACACGGUUGCUACACUGGGGGGUGCAGAGGAUCCAUCAAAAAAGGUCUCAUCUGUUAGGAUGGUCUUCAGCUACUCCCCGGCAAGAAGUAGUAAUUAGUAGUAACAGAUCAUCACCAUGCCGCGGAAAUACGCCCCGCCCUUGCACACCCCCGUCCACCACAUGAGUGUUCGAUCUACCGGAGGGCGAGCGCUACCCGCCAG